AGGGUUCUUGGCUUCAUUUCUCUGACCAUCUACACAUCUCCUUUUGAGUUGAAGCUUAUAUAUUUGCCUCAAAAUGUUACAAAUUGCUUCCCGGGCCUUUUGUUCAGAUGCCGUUAUUAGCAGAUUGAGAACAGUGUUUGCCAGUCUCUUCACUGCAGAGUUCCAUACCAGAGCUACACCCAGCAGUGAAAAAUGUUGAUAAAUAUGCCUAGUCCAGCUUUUUCAUAGUCUUCCAUAAAAGGUGCAGUCUUUUAAGCAACAAGAACACCUAUUCACCCGUAUGUGUAACUGCUUUGGAAAACAAAAGCUUAAUGAAUGUUUUCCAGCUCGAGUAUGUGCCAGUGGAUACUACUUCCCCCAUUGUCUGCCUUGACUCCUCCGUGUGCAAACAACUACUCAAAACGCUCACAUAUCUUACAUUAAACACUUCACUCGCUGUUGCCUAACACUUCAUGUACAUGAAGUGACUCAUUCUGAAGCACCGCCCUACGUGACACCUGCAGACGUUUUCAACAAAGGGGCACAGACUGGAUUUCACUGUGUUUAGAAGAAUGCUUGCCAAGGAGUGAGGUUAAGGACAUUCUCUGGACACCAGACCCACGUCCUCUGUGUCUCUUUCACUCAGCGGCGUUGUUGGAAAAGUCUUCAUCCCAACGGCUGAGCAGUUACGGCUGUUCUUCUGGGGAUUCAUUUGCUUCAGCACCUUUGCAAAGCUGCAGAAGAAAAGCUACCUACAUACUGAUUUUUCAGCAAUUAAACAGCAUUUCUUAAUGGAACCAACUUAGUGGUGAACACAUCGAUCCAGUUGCAAAGCUAUUACAUUCGGUUUAUAUUGUACAUAAACUUGUUUGUGCUUUUAAAGGUGCCCUGGCCUUUUGUGCUUCUGACCUCUUACAGUGAGACGCAGAUCCUCCUUUGGCCACUCUGGGACGACGUAAUAAAACCAGCGGAGCAGGAACGUGAGGGCAGGAGUACUGAGACACGUCAGCUGGCAUGAACAGCUGUGAGUGCCAGUGUCACCUCUGCAGGGCCAACAGGCACCUGAGAUGAGAAUGAACCUCCUAAGCACAGAGUGAACUCAGCAAAAAAGCUAUGCCUUUGACUGGUUUACACUGUUAUUGCUUUUGAACGUAAUGUUCUAAAACAUAGAUUACACAUAAGAAUUGAGUUAUGUAUUCAGUUUUUUAUUAAAAAUGACCUUUUUUAAAAAAAUUAAUAGCGUGCAUUAAAUGCUAACUGUUUCUACCCUUCGUUAGAAGAGUGGCUAGUUCUACUAACCUUGCAAAAGCUUUGUUAUUUUUUCUUGGAUGGUAACUUUCUACCGGUCCUUACUGUGUGACCAGUCUGUCUUAAUAUAUUUUAAAAUAAUAAAAUACCUGCCUUGCAAA